GAUGAACGCUGGCGGCGUGCCUAAUACAUGCAAGUCGAGCGAACGGACGAGAAGUUUGCUUUUCUGAUGUUAGCGGCGGACGGGUGAGUAACACGUGGAUAACCUACCUAUAAGACUGGGAUAACUUCGGGAAACCGGAGCUAAUACCGGAGAAUAUUUUGAACCGCAUGGUUCAAAAGUGAAAGACGGUCUUGCCGUCACUUAUAGAUGGAUCCACGCUACAUUAGCUAGUUGGUAAGGUAACGGUUUACCAAGGCAACGAUAGAUAAACGACCUGAAAGGGUGAUCGGCCACACUGAUACAGAGACGCGGUCCAGAGUCCUACGGGAGGCAACAGUGGGAAAUCUUACGCAAUGCACGCAAGCCUAACGGAGCAACACCACGUGAGUGAUGAAUAUCCAAGGGUCGUAAAACUCUCACAUUAGUGAAAAACAUAUGUGUAAGUAACUGUGCACAUCUUGACGGUACCAAGUCAGAAAGCCACGGCAAACUACGUA
rnacentral:rRNA from 1 species